AGCACAGUUGAUUCCUGAGCUGUGAUGACUUUCCACUGACCAUACUACUGCAAUGAUGUUAUUCUGGGCCAAACUUCGGAAUCAAUUAUUGUCUGCUGCCUGAUUCAAUUAUUUAUCAUGCACCCUGUGGAUUUUCACUUGCUAAAGUAGAAAGAAGAUCCCAACAUUUGAUGAGAAAAUAUACAGAAGGGCAUAGGUCACAUGUCUGACUCACAGCUGCGAUGUGGUGGAUCCAAAUCUCUCUGAGACCAAAUACUGCCCAGCUCGAAUGAAUGCUAUGCUCCAUGCCUGAAACAACUGCUCCAGCCCUCAGAAAAGAGUCUCCCAUUCAACUGAAGUCUGCAUAUCAGAUUCCCGUGGGAUAAUUCAUAAAGGCUCCUUGAAGUUAAUUCUGGGUAUAUCCUGAAAUAGAGGGUCUCCUCUGUUUUUUCUUCUUUUUUUCCACAACCGAGGAGGCACUAGUGCCUACUUAUCUGAAUAAUGGGAUUUCUCUUUGAUGCAAUUGCAAAAAAUGACAAUCAUCAUGAAGCGUAAAAAUUGCAUUUGUUGAAGAAGGGAGGCUGAUCCCAGGUGCACUGUGGCAGGUGGCAGUAUAGAUUUUUGUGAAGCAGCAGUGUGCUGUGAUAUGAGUAGCAGAUGAAGAAGGAAGGAAAUGAAGUCACUUAAUUCUUAUAUGGCAUAAUUACUCUUAUAUUUGGAAUCAACAUGUGGAAUUUCUAGA
rnacentral:lncRNA from 1 species